rnacentral:rRNA from 1 species
UACAGAGGGUGCAAGCGUUGUUCGGAAUCAUUGGGCGUAAAGGGCGUGUAGGCGGUUUGUUAAGUCAUGUGUGAAAUCCCUCGGCUCAACCGGGAACGACGCAUGAAACUGGCAAGCUAGAGUACCAAAGAGGGGGGUGGAAUUCCCGGUGUAGCGGUGAAAUGCGUAGAGAUCCGGAGGAAUACCAGUGGCGAAGGCGGCACGCUGGGCCAUAACUGACGCUAAGACUCGAAAGCAUGGGUAGCGAACGGG